GGGGACCUUUGGAGGUGCUGGGCUAAAAAAGAGUGGGAAAAAAUGAGUUCCCACGCAAUAUAUAUAGAGAUUACUUGAGCUGAAAUUGCAUACAUCUGAUGUGUUUCUAGUCAGUUGAUUGUAUGACAUGUUAUCCUCUGCAUAAAAUUGAAUAACGUGACGCAGUAUGCUUUCAGACUUUCUUGUUUGGUUGUGUGUAAAAGCGUGGAAGAUAAUGUUAUGUGGCCCUUGUUUCUG
rnacentral:misc_RNA from 1 species